rnacentral:rRNA from 1 species
GUCCUCUUGAAGUUAAUAUGAGGUCUGACCUGCCCACUGAAUUUUUUGAAGGGCCGCAGUAAUUUGGCUGUGCAAAGGUAGCAUAAUCAUUAGUUUUUUAAUUGAAAGCUUGUAUGAAGGGUUGGACGAGGUAAAAUCUGUCUCUAUUUAAAUUAUUAUAAAAUUUAAUUUUUAAGUUAAAAAGCUUAAAUAAAUUUAAAAGACGAGAAGACCCUAUAGAUCUUUAUAUAAAUAUUAAUAGUAUUAAUUAAGAAUAUUUAAUUUAUUAUUAAUAUUUAUAUUUUAUUGGGGUAAUAAAAAGAUUUAAUAAAUUCUUUUUUUAUAUAAACAUUGAUUUAUGAAUAAAUGAUCCAAUAUUUUUGAUUAUAAGAUUAAGUUACCUUAGGGAUAACAGCGUAAUUUUUUUAGAGAGUUCAUAUCGAUAAAAAAGUUUGCGACCUCGAUGUUGGAUUAAAAAUUAUCUUAGGUGCAGAAGUUUAAGAUUUUGGUCUGUUCGACCAUUAAAUUUUU